AGUAGUUUUGUUUGUUGAAAGCAUGGCAGCAGGCUUUUGGUUUGACACGGUUUUUCAACAUUAUCACAAUCACUUUCAACACCCCCUUACCUUCUUGUCACCAUACAAAGGCUUAUUUUCUGACACACCCUUUGUUUAUUUGAAAACAUUUUGAGUUUGCUGUAAGUUUGGCACCGACAGCAGUGCAGAGUUUUGUUGCCUCAACCCAUCCACCAUCAAACCAAGUUCCAGAAAACAUCACAGAAGACAUCAAUGCUAAAAGGAGAAAAGGAAGAUGGAAAGACAGAAUUGGGUCAGUAAGAGGCUGAGCUCCCCAAAGCGCCAGUCAGAGUGCUGAAUUUCUGAGGAGGACUGCAGGCAACUACGCCGUCACCAGCUUGACCUUCCCAUUUUGGCAAGAGGGACACGUCAUGGCUGACAUUUUGCCACAUCGACUGAAACUGAAGCUCUAAUGGGCAGCUUGGAUGGCUUACUUCUGCUGCUGACAGUCCUCUUUCUGUUUAUCUAACCCUGUGAUAGAUGGGCUGUGGAAAUGUCCUCUCCCUUGUGUAGCUGCAAUCAGUUGGCCCAUCACUACUGAUAACACAACGUGCCAAAAACACCACCUCACAAUAAGGCAGGGCCUCACAACAUACCAGGUUAAUGAUACAGGAGGACUGGGGGUCACCCUUUGGACUCACAGACAAUCAGUGUUGUAAUUUUGUAUCUAUCUGAAGAAAUUAGUUGUCUAAUCUGUUUGUUACUCUUUGUGUUAGACAAUUUCAAAAAUGACAGCUCAUCAAUGA